rnacentral:hammerhead_ribozyme from 1 species
AUCCAACUGACAAGUCUCAAAUAGGACGAAAUGCACGUUAAACUGGAU